rnacentral:rRNA from 1 species
CAUCACUACGCUAGAUGCAUAUCAAUAAGCGGAGGAAAAGAAACUAACAAGGAUUCCCCUAGUAACGGCGAGUGAAGCGGGAAGAGCUCAAAUUUGAAAUCUUAAAAGGUUUUCCUUUUACGAAUUGUAGUUUAAAGAAGUGUUUUCUGUUGAAGUUUUGGUUACAAGUUCUUUGGAAUAGGACAUCAUAGAGGGUGAGAAUCCCGUAUUUGACCUUAAUUUUUCAACUUUGUGAUACACUUUCAAAGAGUCGGAUUGUUUGGGAAUGCAGUCCAAAAUGGGUGGUAAAUUUCAUCUAAGGCUAAAUAUUGGCGAGAGACCGAUAGCGAACAAGUACCGUGAGGGAAAGAUGAAAAGAACUUUGAAAAGAGAGUUAAAUAGUACGUGAAAUUGUCAAAAGGGAAGCGUUUGGCACCAGUGUUGUUUUUCUAAAAAUCAAUUUAAAAUUUGCUUAUGUUAAGUGUUUUAGACUUAAUCGGCUAUACAUUUAAUUCUUUGUAAAUUUUGAAUGCACUUUUUAGUUAACAAGUCAACAUCAAUUUUUUUUGCUGUAAAAAAGUAAGAGGAAGGUGGCUUGGGAUUCGUUUCGAGUGUUUAUAGCCUCUUGCCCAUGCAGUAGGAGAGAUUGAGGUCUGCAGCAUAGAUCCUUCGGGGCUAGAUGCUUUUGUGCUAGAAGCUAGUAUUAUAUAGACAACUUGUUGAUUAUGUAAUAUAUUAGUUUCUACUCGCUUAAAGUUAUUUUACCUACGCUUAGGAUGUUGAUCUACAGAGCGAGAGU